AACGAACGCUGGCGGCAGGCUUAACACAUGCAAGUCGAGCGCCCCGCAGGGGGAGCGGCAGACGGGUGAGUAACGCGUGGGAAUCUACCCAUCUCUACGGAAUAACGCAUGGAAACGUGUGCUAAUACCGUAUACGUCCUUCGGGAGAAAGAUGUAUCGGAGAUGGAUGAGCCCGCGUUGGAUUAGCUAGUUGGUGGGGUAAAGGCCUACCAAGGCGACGAUCCAUAGCUGGUCUGAGAGGAUGAUCAGACAACACUGGGACUGAGACACGGCCCAGACUCCUACGGGAGGCAGCAGUGGGGAAUAUUGGACAAUGGGCGCAAGCCUGAUCCAGCCAUGCCGCGUGAGUGAUGAAGGCCCUAGGGUUGUAAAGCUCUUUCACCGGUGAAGAUAAUGACGGUAACCGGAGAAGAAGCCCCGGCUAACUUCGUGCCAGCCGCCGCAGUAACAC
rnacentral:rRNA from 1 species